GAAAAGAAACCAACAGGGAUUGCCUCAGUAGCGGCGAGUGAAGCGGCAAGAGCUCAGAUUUGAAAUCUCACCUAGUGUGCGAGUUGUAAAUUGCAGGUUGGAGUCUCGGUUUAGACGUGUGUGCAAGUCCCUUGGAACAGGGCGCCACUGAGGGUGAGAGCCCCGUAGUGUGCACGUCGAUAGCUGUGAGGCCCUUCUGACGAGUCGAGUUGUUUGGGAAUGCAGCUCUAAGUGGGUGGUAAAUUCCAUCUAAGGCUAAAUAUUGGCGAGAGACCGAUAGCGAACAAGUACUGUGAAGGAAAGAUGAAAAGCACUUUGAAAAGAGAGUGAAACAGCACGUGAAAUUGUUGAAAGGGAAGGGUAUUGGGCUCGACAUGGGAUUUACGCAUCGUUGCCUCUCGUGGGCGGCGCUCUGGGUUUUUCCUGGGCCAGCAUCGGUUUUCGUUGCAGGAUAAGGACCUUUGGAAUGUGGCUCCUCGGAGUGUUAUAGCCAUUGGUAGAUGCUGCAUAUGGGGACCGAGGGCUGCGGCGGACUUGUUUCGUCUCGGAUGCUGGCACAACGGCGCAAUACCGCCCGUCUUGAAACACGG
rnacentral:rRNA from 1 species